CACGUAGGGUGCGAGCGUUGUCCGGAAUUAUUGGGCGUAAAGAGCUCGUAGGCGGUGUGUCGCGUCGGCCGUGAAACCUGCAGCUUAACUGUGGGCGUGCGGUCGAUACGGGCAUCACUGGAGUUCGGCAGGGGAGACUGGAAUUCCUGGUGUAGCGGUGAAAUGCGCAGAUAGCAGGAGGAACACCGGUGGCGAAGGCGGGUCUCUGGGCCGAUGAACUGACGCUGGAGGAGCGAAAGCGUCGGGGAGCGAAGCAGG
rnacentral:rRNA from 1 species